rnacentral:rRNA from 1 species
CCUACGGGCUGCAGCAGUGGGGAAUAUUGCACAAUGGGGGAAACCCUGAUGCAGCGACGCCGCGUGAGCGAUGAAGUAUUUCGGUAUGUAAAGCUCUAUCAGCAGGGAAGAAAAUUACGGUACCUGACUAAGAAGCCCCGGCUAACUACGUCCCAGCAGCCGCGGUAAUACGUAGGGGGCAAGCGCUAUCCGGAUUUACUGGGUGUAAAGGGAGCGUAGACGGCUGUGCAAGCCUGGUGUGAAAGUCCGGGGCUCAACCCCGGGACUGCAUUUGGAAUUGUGUGGCUGGAGUGUCGGAGAGGCAGGCGGAAUUCCUAGUGUAGCGGUGAAAUGCGUAGAGAUUAGGAGGAACACCAGUGGCGAAGGCGGCCUGCUGGACGAUGACUGACGUUGAGGCUCGAAGGCGUGGGGAGCAAACGGGAUUAGAUACCCUGGUAGUC